UGCCAAACUCUAAUACUCUCGCAAUUAUUUACGUUUUUUUCCAUUUUAUUUGUGAUUUUCUUUUCUGUCUUCCCCCAAUCCAUUAUUUGGGGUUUGCGUUUUGGUUAAUGCUUUUCAUGCAUGUGGAAGCGAAAACUGAAUUGGGUUGAGCAAAGUCGAAGCAAGAAAAGUGCUUUCGUCCUGUGAAUCGAAUGCUACCCUGUAAUGCAAUCACUUUCAAUUACCUUCUGCGUCAUAUCUAAAUUGCAAUAUGUUUGGCUCCAGGGAAAGAGGGGGCAAGGGCAUAAAAAUAACUGCGCUUUAGAAUUUUCCCCUGGUGGAACUUUAAAACUUGGUUGACUUCUUGCAUAAGUGUCGAGAGUGGAGACUGUAAACAGGGAAUUUAAAUUGUAAGAUUUUAGGACUUGUAUAAUGGUAUAGUUCUGCGUUCGAUUUCUUUAUUCUGGUAUAGUUUAUGUAUGUCUCACUGAAUUUGGUAGAGAAUAUUUGGCAACUGAGAAACGAGGUGAAGCAAGGUAAAUUUCUGGAGGUUUGUAUCUUUAUGGAUCUUAGUUAUAUAGGAUUGAUAGAAGCUAGAACUCCACUCAUAUGGUACAUUUUCUCAAUCAGUAAGAGUGCUUCUUAGAACAUGUUCAGGCUGGAAGUGUAAAGACAGGAACUAGUGAGCACUUCUUUGCGAUACUUGAGGCUGCAAUGUCAUCAACCACCUCUUGCACUGAUCCUUUUGUGCAGGCAGAUUAUCAUGCCUUAUGUAGAUGAAUUUGUGUGGUAGAAAAUGUUACCUUUGACCUUCAUCAUAACAUAUUAUGUUUUUCAGUGUCUCUGUGAGAAGCAGAAGAAUCAGUUAGCUACAUGGACAAUUGAAGCAGUGUUGGCAAAUGAUUUAUUCACUGAUGGUAGCUUUGUUUUUCAAAAGCAGCUGGAUGAAUAAAAGAAGUCAUAACUACUCUUCCAAUUGCAUCUGUAGAAGAAGCUGCAGCUCUAAAGGAUGAGGCAGGAGCAACAACUGAUGAAGACGGUGAAAACAAGCAGGAUGUAAUCUUCAGGUGCUUCGGCUGAAGAAAGUAAGAUGGAUGAGUCUGAUCCAUUUGGACUCGAUGCUUUUACGAGUAAACCGAAAAAAGAUGAAAGGGCAAAGGGAAAGAAAGAUACAUUACCCAAGAUCCAGAAGGAGGAAGAGAAUAAAAGCUUUCUCAAAGCUCUCAGAGAAUCCUUGAUCAUUUGUUUAGAGAUGUUGCACACAGUUACAAAACUCAAGUAAGUCGUACGCAUUACUUAGUGAGAACACUUUUUCAAACAAUUACGUGUGGCUGUUGUUUCGCUGUCUUCCUUGUGGCUGAUCGCAUGUAAUGUGUUGUUAGUUGUAACCAAAUUAUGUUUGUUAAAUAUCAAGGGAAAGAUUUUGCUUAAUUUUGUUAGAGUUUGAGAUUAGAAUGUUUCACUUGUUUUCUUCAA